GCGUCGGUGGCUCAGAGGUUAAGCUCUUGACUUGCAAUCUGCAAGUCAUGGGUUCGAAUCCCGUCAUGUA
rnacentral:tRNA from 1 species